GGCCUCGUAGCUCAGCUGGUAGAGCAUGCGCGUACAAAGCGUAGGCGUCGUCCAUCAGUGGGUUUGAAUCCCACCGAGGCUA
rfam:Echinostoma caproni strain Egypt genome assembly, scaffold: ECPE_scaffold0002699